CUGGCUUGACUGUUGUUUUCGAAGUGGAGGCUGGCUUGACUUCAGUGAGGACACGUAGUCCGUUAAAAUGUAUUUUCUAAGUAUUUCUUCAUCGCCUUCAUGUUAAAAGUCAUGUCUGCCCCGCUGCUGUCAUGGUAACGUUACGAUUCACCGUCACCCUCAUCUAAAGUUCGGCUGUUUCAUAUUUAUUUAUUUAUUUAACUCUGAUUACAGACAAUCUGACUGUCUGCGCAGUCUGUGAGUUGUUUUCUUUGCAUCUGAUUAUCACACUGCAUAUUAUUCAAUACUGAAAUAAAUCCAUGUCAGAAACAUUUAAAGUUUGAAGUAGAUUAAUGUCUGUUAUUGUCUUGGAGAGUCUCCAUCCAGCUGGAUCUGUGUCACAGGUGAGGAGCUAACAUUUGAUUUGAGGACUCACUUCAUCCAGAGGUUCACCUGACCAGGUGGAUUCUGUCUACAGGUAAACCUACAACCCCCCACCUCAGUCCCCCUCCAGCUUGUGUUCAGACUGGUCCGCCACCUGGUGGUCUUCUGUCCCUGCUGCAUCUCCACUGUCCUCAUGGUGUCUUCAUAUCGACGCAGGGCCGCAGGAAAUGACCUGAGAAGGGAUUGACAACAUUGACGAUGUCAUCACUGCUGUCUCCAGAGAAUUUCACGUCUGAGCUGAUCCAAGGGCGCCCUGACCAGUCUUUGGAGAGAAAACCACAACACUGCCGGCCACUCGCAGAGGAAGGAGGAGGCUGUUACAUGAACAUGAAGUGAUCAGAGCGCAGAUCUCAUUACACCAAGUGUCAGGAUGGAGGGAACUAUUCUUCUGUGGCUGCUCUUUCUGACGUCACUGCUGAGCUGCACAACAAACCAGGCUCUUGCAGCCUCUCUGACUGUGAGUCCCAGCAGCUCUCAGCUGUUUGAAGAUAAAUCUGUCUCUCUGAGAUGUGAUGAGGACGACAGCUCUACUGGAUGGACGCUGAGGAGGAACACAACCAGACGACAGAUGACUCAGUGUGGAGCUGGCUGGGGAAGAUCAGCUGGUUCUUCCUGUAGCAUCACUCUGACAGUCACAUGGGACAGUGGAGUUUACUGGUGUGAGUCCAGAGAGGGAGCAACCAGUAACACCGUCAACAUCACUGUC